AUACUUCCUCUCCCCACGUCUUCAUGGCAGGGUGCCUAGUUAAUUAAUCACAGAGACAACUUUACCUUUAUCUUUAACAGCUGUGUUGCCCAGGCCUGUUACUAUUGAAAAUUAGAAUGUGCCAUAAAUUUAAUAAAUAAAUAGUACUUCAUUACAGAUUACAACAUUUGAAACAGAGCUGGCUGUAGAUAUGGCAGCCAGGUAAUCCCUGGACCACAGAAGUGAGGCACAAAAUCAGAAUAAAUGGCUGGAGUCUGAUUCUCUGCUGGGACAGAUUUUCUCUCUGCAACCAUACUGAGACUACUUCUUGGGCCCAGUCCACUUUAUCCAGUGGUUUAUGGGAACUUUUUUCCCUCGUGUAAAACAGUGAUGACAAGAAACUGAAUACUUACUUCCAUCCAGUGCAAAGGUUAGGAAUGCAUGGGGUUAAUCUCUGCUUGCACAAAUAUCGUUAUUGCAAAUUAAUAGCAUUCAUGUUAAUUACAGGACAGUGACUCUAAAUCUGGAAUACUGUGUUCCAUAAAUUGUAAGAGGUGUGGAACUAGUCUUCAGAUCAUCCCUGCUUAAGGGUUAGUUACAAUAAAUCUUAGUUUAUUCCUCCAUUCUACAAAUAAUUCUGCUGGUGGCAACUCUGAUUAACAUUCUGUAAGAGUCACUGGUCUGACACAAGGUUAGUCUGCCCUGUAGAUCACCUGCAAAACAUCUAUUUCAUUUCAUUUAUUCACCUUCCAUAAAUCCGGUCAAGAGUACAUUUUCAUGCUGAUGUGGAGAUCGUCCUAAGAUCUAAGUCACAAGGAAAGCAGAAUGUAAUUAUUUCACAUUACAUAAUUUUAGUACGAAAUUAGUAAGGUGUUCCCAGGUAAGUUGAUUAUUAUGAAGGUUUCAUAAAAACAUGUGAUAACUUGCAUACAAUAGCAUAGUUAGCAGUUGAAAAUUCAAAGGAUAAAUAUGGCAGUUGCCAUCUCUAACUGCAGUUUCCACAGAUAAUUCAUCAUGGAUCCACUCACAGACAUUAUACCUCUUUAGGGACACCAAAAUCACAAUUUCACUGAGUAUGAAUGUAAUAUGCUUGAGAUGUUCUGGAGAGGCAGCUUGCUAGAAUAAUCAUGAUAAUAAAAUUCCAUGGGUACCUUUUUCCAACAAAGGUCAACACUGUAAUAUUGAUCGAUGACACUGCCGUUUAUUGCUGCCAUCUUCUGAUCCUAUCACAACUAACUGAUAUUUAGUUUCACAUUUGAUUUCCAUGGAAAUGACAAACAUUACAACAAACACUGCCUUGCCUAAUCUAAUUAUAUAUUGAUUAUUGAACACCUGCAUCCUGCAGUGACAUUCAUGUGAAAGUUGCGAGAAAAUGGAAAAUGAUCUGGUGGUGACAACUUCAGUUAAUAUUAUAUCAGCUAGGAAACAGAAAAUGCUGUGGAAGUAGUGAGCUGACCAAUCUGUGAAGUUGCAUUAAAGAUUGUACUGCAUAUCUAGUGAUAAGCUAAUGCAGCGGGGCACUCAAAUACAAUACUGUGAAACCCCUUACACUUAAACAUACAACCCUUCAAAGCACAGUGGAAUCUGUAUGUGCCAUCUGGUUUUAACAUACAAAUUCGCCACAGUAUAUGUAUGGAUAAAAUAAGAUUCCAACAAUAAAAGGUGUUUAUUUCCCUCAACAGCAUCAACUGAUUGGCCUUCAUAAUAGAGACAUAAUAUUUUCUGUGACAGAAAUGAAUAAAAAACUAUUAACAUUAAUGAUAGCAGAAAGUAAUUUGUUUUGUUUUUAAUUAUUUUAAAAUACAUAAAUUUAUAUUUGUGUAUUGUAUUAUCAGGCAUUAACUACUUUUGUCAAUAUUUAGUGUUUUUAUUUCUAUGUACUGGGUAUGAACGAGGAUUCUGUCACAGAAAAUAUGAGCAUAUUACUAAUGCUGUAGUAUAGUUGUGUACAUUAUGAAAACCAGGCAUGGAAAACAUGUCUUUACUUUUGCAUCCUGUUGUGUAAAAUGGAUGGUCUCCAGAACAAAUCUAUAGAAAACCUGGUACAGUUUGGCAGGCUAGCCUUGUGUAUGACUUUCUCUUACUCAAAGGCAAAAAGAUGUACAGAUAUAAUAAUAUGAUAACUAAGUGUCUUAUACAGAGAAUGAGAGGCAUUGCUGUCCCAUUGUUGUUUAUCGCUGUGCAGAUAUACGUAUCCUGUUAUCUUCUGCAUUGUAACAGCAAACUUUUCUACAAAUCAAAGUGAAUCAUAUGUCUUUGUAUUGCCAACUUUUUCUAUACUGCAAGAUCCAUAUAAAAGUGCCACAGAAAUGGCAUUAUUAAAAAGAGAAUCUUUGUCUUUCUACACAAAUAUGAAAAUCAAUAAAAAAUAAAAGCAUAUAAUUGCAUAAGAUGGUCACAUAAUAGCUGUAGAAUCAGAUGUGUGUAUGGGUAAUUGUGUGAUUGUUUUAAUGUGUCAAUGAGAAUUAAAAUUUAUUUAGAUAAGAAAUGUCUGGUAAUUCUGUGUUCUAACCUACAAUUUUUAUACCUCAGUCCUUUUUCCACCUUUACCUCUCCUCCACUUGCCAUUAGAAUGAACUAGAUAUUGAAUUACAGCUCUUCUCUCAAAAAUGGCAUAUUCAACCAAUGGAACACAUAUUUUUAUAUUAUUCUUGGAGUUGGAUGAGACUGAGUCCCUUGGAACUACAGCCAUAGAUGGACAUCUUGUACCAUCCCAAGAUGAUAUACAUAGAGAAUCAUUAGUGGAAUGAUAACUGAGAGGCAAAGACUGACAACUUCAGAGGAAAACAUAAUUAAGCAUAUUCAUAAACUUAAUUGUCUUUAUGUCAGGACACACAAAAUCAUCUUGUUCCAGCUUGAGCUCUCCAUAAUAAACACAAAGGGAAAAGCAGAUUCUGUUUAUUUCUUGCAGUUCUUUUAUAUGUACUUAGGCCUUCAUCUUUAAUGAAAACACAGCUCACUGCUGCUGACUUACAUGUACAAAUCGGAACAAGAAAAUAUUUUGCCCUAAUGUGGUUAGCCUAAAUUUUCUCAGCUAUGAAAUAUCAUCAAAUCUUGAUGCAUUUCCUCGGACUAAGUACAGAUCUGCUCUUUAUAUAUAUAUAUAUAUAGCUUUAGCUACUUUCACAGAUAAUGCUAAGCUACUCUACUAACAGAUUCUCUUGAGAGGUGUGACAUCUCAGGACUUGAUUAAUGUGUCAUCUGUCAGUCUCCCAAAGGAAGCAGUAGAGGGAAUAGCUAUUCUAAGGUUUUCUUCAGUCUUAAAAGACAAAUGCUUUAACAAUGAUGAUAAGGGCACAAUUUAUUUCCAAAUCAUUCCCAAUUCAUCAGACAUCAACAGCUUCCUAUAAUACCGAUUUUGAUACCACAUAACCUCAGUAGUUUAUGAAAACAUGGUAAAUGUUCCUUUUUUUCAUUUAUUGGCCUGAUUAUCAAUUUGAGAGAUGGAAUCAUUACCCUUGAUGACCAUCUGCAAGGUUACAGCUUCACUGUCAUAGCUGUCAUAGCUACAAGCAUUGACACAGCCCCCGUAAUCAAUGUUCCAUUACCCAACUAUCAGAAAACAUUUAUUUGGAAUCUGGGUUUGGAGAGUCCAGCAAGUGCCAUGUAUGACCCUACAACACGUCAUAAACAAAAGAUUUUAAAAGUCUACAGUAAUACUGAAACCACUAGUUUUUGAACAAAUUUUGUAUUAUGCCAUGCUUUCCUCUGAUAUUAACCAAUGCUAUCAAGCAGACAGAGAAAUUAUGUUAACCAUAAAGGAAGCAAUGGAAAAGGAUGAGGGUCAAAGUUUAUUUACAAGAAACCAGAUCUUAUUGGUAUAGCAGUAAAGUUGAAGUGAGGGUGGAUUAGGAAAUUUCUUCAGAGGUAGUUGUGAACACUUUAUAAUGCAUAGUACCAAUGCUGUCCUCACAUCUUUAUUCAUAUUCAUGGUUAUGUUCUAUAUUGGCUUCUGUGGGUUUGAAAAGUUUAUAUUAUUUGGUAGAGCUUCUCUAAAGUUGUCUGCCUCCUUUGCAGCUGAAUCAGGAUGUGGGCUAUAGCUGAAGAAACGUUACCUAUCUACCAGAAUACAUGGCAUCACAACCCAGAAAACAACAAUCUUGUUACUACUGAGAUAACCUCAAAUUUCAGAAUGAUAGCGACAGUCUGGAACAAGGCCCGUGAAUAAUAUUAUUAUGUAUGUCAUUACCAUCAUAAUUACCAAGAGACAGUAAUCUUCAAUGGUCUUGUGGAUUUCAUGUAGUCUGAUAGUUCCUCCUACUGGACUACAUGGUGCAACAUUGCAUAAGAGAGGGCUCUUUAACCGCUGAUAUGCCUGCAUGACACAUUUCAGUUUUCACGAGGUCUAUCAAAUGCAGUGAACUAUGCACCACCAUAAUUCCACAAUUAAAUGGUGGCAAAAAAAUUAAAUUAGAGAGUUUUAUGUAUAACUGUUUAAAUAAUUUACCCAUGAAGGAAUAUAUUUAUUUCUAUGGCCCUACAAAAGUAUUUUAUUAUUGAAAUUAGCAGAAAACUGAAACGUUUAAAUUGACACUAUAUAAUAUUGAUAUUGACAGUAUUGUUAAAUAACCAACUCAAUUCCAUAACCAUUUAAAUCUCUGCCAAAAGUAAAUUGUGUAAAUGUUUAUUUAUAUACAUUUUUAUAACUAUACAUGGCAUGAAUGCGUUUAUAAUUUUUGGACAAGGAUAAGCACUGUGUACUUAGUUCUGUACUGUGGCAUUCUCAAGAUCU